AAUCAACGCUGGCGGCGUGCCUAACACAUGCAAGUCGAACGAGAAAGUGGAGCAAUCCAUGAGUAAAGUGGCGCACGGGUGAGUAACACGUGACUAACCUACCCUUGAGUGGGGGAUAACCUAGGGAAACCUGGGCUAAUACCGCAUAAUAUCGAGAGAUCAAAGGAGCAAUUCGCUUAAGGAGGGGGUCGCGGCUGAUUAGCUAGUUGGUGGGGUAAUGGCCCACCAAGGCNGUGAUCAGUAUCCGGCCUGAGAGGGCGCACGGACACACUGGAACUGAAACACGGUCCAGACUCCUACGGGAGGCAGCAGUGGGGAAUUUUGCGCAAUGGGGGAAACCCUGACGCAGCAACGCCGCGUGGAGGAUGAAGUCCCUUGGGACGUAAACUCCUUUCGAUCGGGACGAUAAUGACGGUACCGAGAGAAGAAGCCCC
rnacentral:rRNA from 1 species